AGUGAACGCUGGCGGUAGGCCUAACACAUGCAAGUCGAACGGCAGCACAGUAAGAGCUUGCUCUUACGGGUGGCGAGUGGCGGACGGGUGAGGAAUACACCGGAAUCUACUUUUUCGUGGGGGAUAACGUAGGGAAACUUACGCUAAUACCGCAUACGACCUACGGGUGAAAGCAGGGGAUCUUCGGACCUUGCGCGAUUGAAUGAGCCGAUGUCGGAUUAGCUAGUUGGCGGGGUAAAGGCCCACCAAGGCGACGAUCCGUAGCUGGUCUGAGAGGAUGGUCAGCGACACUGGAACUGGGCCACGGUCCAGACUCCUACGGGAGGCAGCAGUGGGGAAUAUUGGACAAUGGGCGCAAGCCUGAUCCAGCCAUACCGCGUGGGUGAAGAAGGCCUUCGGGUUGUAAAGCCCUUUUGUUGGGAAAGAAAAGCAGCAGGUUAAUACCCAGCUGUUCUGACGGUACCCAAAGAAUAAGCACCGGCUAACUUCGUG
rnacentral:rRNA from 1 species